rnacentral:rRNA from 1 species
GACGAACGCUGGCGGCGUGCUUAACACAUGCAAGUCGAACGGAAAGUCCCGGCUUUGUUGGGGUGCUCGAGUUGCGAAGUGGUAAGUAACACUUGGGUAACCUACCAUUGACUUUGAGAUAACUUCAUAAAACUUGGUCUAAUACCGGAUAGGAUCUCCUGCUUCAUGGUGGGGGUUGGAAGGUUUCGGCGGUUGGUGAUGGACUCGCGGCUUAUCAGCUUGUUGGUGGGGUAGUGGCUUACCAAGGCUUUGACGGGUAGCCGGGCUGAGAGGGUGAGCGGACCAACUGGGACGGAGCUGAGGCACAGCCCCCUACGCGACGCAGGAGAGCGGUAUAGUGCAUAAUGGGCGGAACGAUGACGUAGUCCAGCAGCGUGGGGGAUGAGGGGAAUCGCGUUGUAAACUGAUGUUGCCUGUCACGAAGUGUGAGUGACGGUAAUGGGUAAAGAAGCACCGGCUAACUACGUG